GAUGAACGCUGGCGGCGUGCUUAACACAUGCAAGUCGAACGGAACACCCUAGAAGGAGUUUUCGGACAACUGAUAGGACUGUUUAGUGGCGGACGGGUGAGUAACGCGUGAGUAACCUGCCUUGGAGUGGGGAAUAACAGCUGGAAACAGCUGCUAAUACCGCAUAAUAUAUCUGGGUCGCAUGGCUCUGGAUAUCAAAGAUUUAUCGCUCUGAGAUGGACUCGCGUCUGAUUAGCUGGUUGGCGGGGUAACGGCCCACCAAGGCGACGAUCAGUAGCCGGACUGAGAGGUUGGCCGGCCACAUUGGGACUGAGACACGGCCCAG
rnacentral:rRNA from 1 species